AAAAAAAAAAAAGAAAGAAGAAAUUCAUCAAUGCUCUGUUUACACUGUCUCUCCCACCAUAACCGCAUCCACGCCAAUUCUAUCUUUAAUUAUCCACUCCCUUCUCCACCUCCAGAUAUGUAUAUAUGUUAAUUAAAAAUCAAUGGACCACAGCCUCUCUGUAAGUUGUCAUGCGGCGACGACCCCAUCACCCAAACGAAGCUGGAUUCCUUCAUGCACCACCAAAGCCCAGCAGCAGCCGCUCAAAGAAAUACGGGUAUGCACCAACCGUGCCUGCCGCAAACAAGGAGCCUUUCAAACUCUAGAAACCCUCUCUGGUAUCGCUCCGCCAAACGUCUCUGUAAAGUCAUCCGGUUGCUUGGGUAAGUGCGGUGCUGGUCCCAACCUGGUGGUCCUUCCUGAUUACCUCAUUAUCCGCUAUUGCGGGACGGCUGCUCGUUGUUUGGAGACCAUGGUAAGUCUGUUUGGUGGAGGAGAUAAUAGUUUGGAUGCUCUUGCUUUGAGGAAGAUGGCUGAUGUUGAGUUAGAGAAGAAAAAUUUCGCUGAGGCUGAGCUUUUGCUCUCUCAGGCUAUAGAUUUAAAACCAUUUGGAGGUAUACAUGUCACAUUUAAAUGCAGGUCAUCUGUAAGGCUGGAAUUGGGAAACUACUUGGGUGCCCUCCAAGAUGCUAAUGAGGCUUUGAUAUUAGCUCCCGAGUAUUCAGAGGCUUAUAUCUGCCAAGGUGAUGCCUAUUUGGCAUUGAACAAAUUUGAUUUGGCAGAGCAGUCAUAUUUAGCAUGUUUAGAUAUAGAUCCUUCGAUCCGUCAGUCUAAAUCAUUCAAGGCUCGGAUAACAAAGCUUCAGGAAAAACUUGCUUCUGUUAAUACAUCAUAGGAUUUGGUUUGUAAAGGAAAAUGUCCAGUGAAUUCAAUUUACAGUGAUGGCCACAUGAAUGGAUAUUAUUUUAUCUUAACAGGGAUAUGAACUCUAUUUACAAAGUUGAGGAGAUUAGGGAAAUCACACUGCAAAGCUUGAGGGAUAUGCCACUAAUUAUUAUGAAUGAAGUCUUUGACAGGAGCUUUUAGUUGGGAUUUCAUCCAAUCUGGUAGAUUGAGAAAAUCAUGAACUUAUUGGAGUUUCUUUUUUGUUGGACAAAUUUGUGCAUAAAAGUUGUUGGUUUUUAUUUUUUUUUAGGGGAAUAAAAGUUGUUGGUUAUUUUUGGCG